ensembl:snRNA U6 U6 spliceosomal RNA
GUGCUCACAUUGACAGCACAUAGCUUAAAGUUGGAAUAACACAAAGGUUAGCAUGGCCCCUGCACAAAGAUGACACAGAUGUGCAAAGUAUUCCAUACUCAA